AAGUACCAUCCUGUAACCUGAGAUGAGACCGCCACACCCCAAUAAUCCUAUAAAUAUGGCAAAAUCAGGCAAUUUUCUCAAUAGAGAGCAACGAGCACAAACUUUUAACUGAAGCUGACAUUCGAAGAGCGAAGCCAAUCAUGGUUCUUUACGUGAAUGACUUGUCUAAGAUGGAUCUUCGUGACAACAAACGUCGUCUGAAGAAUGUGAUGGGGGAGCUGGAGACCCGGAAUGGCCGCCUGACCGAAAUGAUGGUCAGGGUGGAAACUCUCAACGCCAUGAAGACAGCAGCUGAACAGCGGAGAAGGAGGGUGAGGUUGCACUAACAGCAACUGCCGGUAGAGAGGUACUUGAAGAAUGGAGUAAGCAGAUUUCAGAAGAGGAAAGAAGUUUCCCUUGGACCUCAAGUGAUGAAUCAAGUGAACUGAAACUGCAACAUUUAAGCUAUAACAUAGACUGAUUCCAAGGGACGUGAUGUAAAGAAGAAAAUGUCAUCUCAUUACUUCGAUGUAUUUCAGUUUUUCACCGAAUCGGAUGUUGGAUGUCGUAUCACGUUUUCGUGUAUGCCAUGACAGAAUGUGAAUAAUUGUAAUAUCAAAGAUCUAAUUACUAUAAUCACAAUUGGCAGGGAAAAUGUUGUUUAGAAUCGAAGUAUACUGGUAAUAUAUGAUGUAUAGAGAUGUUGGUUUACUGCUGUACAAUAGAUAUGGCGAAUAUGAUUGUGAUCUAAUUGAUAUAUUGUAAAUGACUGGGUUGUGAAAAGUUUGAUGAAAAGAAAAUAAACCAUUGACGCAUCAAGAUGCAA